GACAGAGGGUGCAAACGUUGUUCGGAAUUACUGGGCGUAAAGCGUGUGUAGGCGGCCGGGUAAGUCGGGUGUGAAAGCCCUGGGCUCAACCCAGGAAGUGCACUCGAAACUGCGCGGCUAGAGUAUCGGAGAGGUUGGUGGAAUUCUCGGUGUAGAGGUGAAAUUCGUAGAUAUCGAGAGGAACACCGGCGGCGAAGGCGGCCAACUGGACGAAUACUGACGCUGAGACACGAAAGCGUGGGGAGCAAACAGG
rnacentral:rRNA from 1 species